rnacentral:rRNA from 1 species
GAUAAAACGCUGACAGAAUGCUUAACACAUGCAAGUCGAUGAUGAGAAGCUAAGCCUAGCUUAGAAGAAGUCAUGGCGGACGGGUGAGUAACGUGUAAAGAACUUGCCCUCUAGACUGGGAUAACAGAUAGAAAUGUCUGAUAAUACCGGAUAUUAUUGCUACAUGGCAUCAUGUAGGAAUGAAAGGAUAAGAUUGCUAGAGGAGAGCUUUGCAUCCUAUUAGCUAGUUGGUAAGGUAGCGGCUUACCAAGGCGAUGAUAGGUAGCCGGCCUGAGAGGGUGGACGGCCACAAGGGGACUGAGACACGGUCCAA